rnacentral:sRNA from 1 species
CAAAGAUUUCAUGUUUACUAUUGUAUUAAUGGGCGGGUAACUCUAGUUCCGGUUCAUGACAGGAAGUGUUACGAUUAAAGCGCGGGCUUUUAACCAAGUAAACAAAGGAAGACAAAGGAAAAACGAAGAAAGCUACGUACGCGAUCUGAGCGGUGCCAGAGAAACUUCAGAUGGCAGAGUAUAUGAGAUCUUAUAUGAGAAGAUGGAGAAGGACAAAUGCUCAAGUAGCAGCCAUAAUUGAAAGCAAUGAAGACAUAGAUGAAAUUCCAAAUCAGUUAGGAGAUGGUGAAAACCCUGUCCGAAACGAAUUAGAUGAGGAAAUUAUAUUGAGAGAUUCAGACGACACCUUACAUACUGAUGAAACUUCAGAAUUUGGAGAUAAUGAAGACUUUGACACAUCUUCCUCUGACUCUUUAGAACCAUUUAGUGAUGACGAUGACAUAAAUACAUGUGAUGCAGAGGAAAAUGUCUGCCUUGAAAAGAAGAGAGCAGACAAAUGUUUUCUCUGUGAUGUGUUUGCACAAACGUCUUUGGAAAACCUGUUUGAAAACCCAUGCUCUUCAAAUUUGGUGAAUAUUCAAAAAUUACAAAAUAUACGCAGACCAGCCAGGCGAAUGUUGCUCGAGUAUGAUGAGUUUGAGAGGAAAGCAGCUUGUCUACCAGAUGGUACGGGGUAUGUUAUGAUCCCUCUGCGCCAUGAGAUGGAAAGAUGGUGAUAGAGGUGGUGUUUAUAAAUGGCGGGGCGCAAAAAAUGGUCAAGGGCGGUUUGGAGAGAAGGAGACCAGGAAGAAGAAUUGGUUAUCCCUUCUUCUUGGAUUGAAGGAAAAUUUAUACGAUGGCCCAACAGCAGUAGUGCAUUAGCUGCACUUAAAGACAUGCGGAAGCCCGAGAAGACAUGGCAAAAAUUCAACCUGAUAAAGGUUAAAUUUUCCUCUGAUAGCAAGAAAGAAUGUGAUCAAUAUGAUUACACGACAACUGGUGAAACGACUGAGGAGGAAAGUGAUAUUGAGGAAGAAAUGAUGCCCAAGAGAAGACCCAAAAAGAGGAUCUUUUCCGACUUUAUAUUAGACGGUGUUGAAAGCACUGAGGAGGAAUCGUGUGGGACAGGAUCCACUGAAAAACACAAAAAAAGAAUAGAAUUACCACCGCCACCACCUCUUCCAUCCUUGGCAACAAGAAGAUUAAAUAGUGAUGGAUCAAGGUCGCCUCCAAGAUCUGACAUAGUUCAUCAAAGGUCACAGUCUCCUGCAUCGACAAACAGAUCAAAUCAAAGAUCAGUUUCAUCAUCAAGAUCGUACACAUCUGAACAAAGAUCAAGGUCACCAGCAACAUCCAAUAGAUCCGGCCAAAGAUCAAGGUCACCAGCAACAUCCAAUAGAUCCGACCAAAGAUCAAGGUCACCAGCAACAUCCAAUAGAUCCGGCCAAAGAUCAAGGUCACCAGCAACAUCCAAUAGAUCCGGCCAAAGAUCAAGGUCACCAGCAACAUCCAAUAGAUCCGGCCAAAGAUCAAGGUCAC